AUUGAACGCUGGCGGCAUGCUUUACACAUGCAAGUCGAACGGCAGCGCGGGCUUCGGCCUGGCGGCGAGUGGCGAACGGGUGAGUAAUACAUCGGAACGUGCCCAGUAGUGGGGGAUAGCUCGGCGACAGCCGGAUUAAUACCGCAUACGACCUGAGGGUGAAAGCGGGGGAUCUUCGGACCUCGCGCUAUUGGAGCGGCCGAUGGCAGAUUAGCUAGUUGGUGGGGUAAAGGCCUACCAAGGCGACGAUCUGUAGCUGGUCUGAGAGGACGACCAGCCACACUGGGACUGAGACACGGCCCAGACUCCUACGGGAGGCAGCAGUGGGGAAUUUUGGACAAUGGGCGAAAGCCUGAUCCAGCAAUGCCGCGUGUGUGAUGAAGGCCUUCGAGUUGUAAAGCACUUUUGGCGGGAACGAAAAGGACUGUGCCAAUACCACGGUUCGAUGACGGUACCCGCAGAAUAAGCACCGGCUAACUACGU
rnacentral:rRNA from 1 species